rnacentral:rRNA from 1 species
CAGAGUUUGAUCCUGGCUCAGAGCUAACGCUGGCGGCAGGCUUAACACAUGCAAGUCGAGCGGGCCCUUCGGGGUCAGCGGCGGACGGGUGAGUAACGCGUGGGAACGUGCCUUCUGGUCUGGAAUAACCCUGGGAAACUAGGGCUAAUACCGGAUACGCCCUUUUGGGGAAAGGUUUACUGCCGGAAGAUCGGCCCGCGUCUGAUUAGCUAGUUGGUGGGGUAACGGCCUACCAAGGCGACGAUCAGUAGCUGGUCUGAGAGGAUGAUCAGCCACACUGGGACUGAGACACGGCCCAGACUCCUACGGGAGGCAGCAGUGGGGAAUAUUGGACAAUGGGCGCAAGCCUGAUCCAGCCAUGCCGCGUGAGUGAUGAAGGCCUUAGGGUUGUAAAGCUCUUUUAUCCGGGACGAUAAUGACGGUACCGGAGGAAUAAGCCCCGGCUAACUUCGUGCCAGCAGCCGCGGUAAUA